rnacentral:rRNA from 1 species
GGGCCCGCACAAGCGGUGGAGUAUGUGGUUUAAUUCGAUGCAACGCGAAGAACCUUACCAGGGUUUGACAUCCUGCGAAUCUCUUGGAAACAGGAGAGUGCCUUCGGGAACGCAGUGACAGGUGGUGCAUGGCUGUCGUCAGCUCGUGUCGUGAGAUGUUGGGUUAAGUCCCGCAACGAGCGCAACCCACGUCUUUAGUUGCCAGCAUUAGUUGGGCACUCUGAAAGAACUGCCAGUGAUAAGCUGGAGGAAGGUGGGGAUGACGUCAAGUCCUCAUGGCCCUUACGUGUUGGGCUACACACGUGCUACAAUGGUAUCUACAACAGGAAGCAAAACGGCGACGUUAAGCAAAUCCUUAAAAGAUACUC